GCCCAAUACUUUAGAACUUAAGUCACACCACUUAAUGCUUAUAUUUUGAGCAUCAUAAUCUUAGAAUUUAUUUGAUACUCAACACUUAUGACAUACUUAAUUUGUCAAGCACCACUUAGUCUUAAACAUAGUUCAUCUAGGCCUCGAAUAUUCAUGUUUGAUUCUGGAUUCAAUCUUUCACAAUGUCUUAGGUCUGGGAAUACCUCAUGACAUGUUACUCGAUCCAAAAUUGCACUCUUUCAUUUAAUAAUUUUCGGCAUAAUUUGCUUAAAGCAAUUUUUUAUCUUUAAAAUGAUAUGGAUCAGGGACACAAAUCCAUAUUUGACGGUGUAUAAUUCAGGACAUGCCACACUUUAACUUGCAUUUAUUAAUGAUGCCUUUAGGUAAAGUAUUGGUUGAAGCCUUCCACAUAUGACUUCUCCCACAAGAGUGUUGAUAAUACUUUAUGUGGAAUUUCUUAGUAUCAACACUUCUUGUAACAUAAUUGUCCAAAAUAUUGGAUUUCUUACUUAUGGGCAUGCAACAUAACACCUUUGCAUUUAUGCCAAUAAGGCAAAAUGUUCUUAAUUGAUUUUUCCAGGGGUCCAGUCCUGGACUAAUUUCCCAGAUAUCCCGGUCCUUUUAAGGAUACUUAGGGCAAUUUAUAACUUAAUUAAACAUAUAAUGCUUAUGUUUGCCAUUACAUAAGCAAAUUUAUUACCCUUAAUGGGAAUCAACCCAUUUCCUGGACCUUUUAUCUUGGUGAAUAUUAUUGUUCAAAACUUAAGAGAUAUCACCAAGACAAUCUUAGUAUCCAGAUAAAAGAAAAUCUGGAUCUUUAUGUACACAAUAUCCCUAUUGUUUAAUAACUUAUUUCUUAUUGUACUUAUGUAUCACUUAUGGACUCCAAUAAUUUUUCAAAUGAUGAGCAACGAGUGUCAUACAAUCUUUAUGACAUAAUUAAUCCCUUUCACAUAGUGGGAUUGAUCAAAGAUCUUCAAGUGGGCACAAAGGCGCCACAAGGAGCUAAAGCAAGUAUUCAUAACAACAACGCUGGAGUUCUGACAAGGAACCGCACGUGUUCCUGCGACGGCCUGGAACUGCAUUUCGCAACAAAUCACAUUGGUCACUUUCUUCUAACAAACCUCCUAUUGGAGAACAUGAAGAGCACAUGUAGGGACAGCGGCACCGAGGGACGGAUUGUCAAUGUGACGUCAGUAGGGCAUGCCAUGAUGACUUAUCCUGAAGGGAUAUGCUUUGACAAAAUUCAUGAUCCUUCCGGUUUGAUUGACUUUAUUGCUUACUGCCAAUCCAAGCUUGCCAAUAUUCUUCACUCCAAUGAAUUAUCACGAAUUUUCAAGGAGGAAGGAGUGAAUAUUUCAGCCAAUGCCGUUCAUCCUGGUGUCAUCAUGACUAACAUUUUUAGGGACAGGACUAUUGUGGGUGGUAAUUUUCUCAAUCCUAACGGUCGAUGUUAUUGUUUGAAAACCACAAAGGGCUUCCAACACAUUCAAAUAUCUCAAAUAAUUUCUGGCUUGUAGCCUGGAGCUCCGGUUGUAACGAUGUUUAAUUUGUGACUGUUCCCACUAUUCUUACAGCGUUUUUUAACACCAUUGGAAGAAUCAUAUGUAGAAGAGUUGAACAGGGUGCCGCAACGACAUGCUAUGUGGCGAUGCAUCCUCAAGUGAAGGGGAUAAGUGGAAAGUACUUCGCCGAUUGUAACAUAUCCAGCCCGAGCUUACAAGCUUCAGAUGCUGAGCUGGCCAAGAAGCUAUGGCAGUUCAGCUUGCAGACAGUGUCUUCUUGAUCAAGCUAUGCUUGCAUGAACGAGUGAUGCACGUAUUGUUGUACUUAAUGCUUACAUAGCUCUUCCGGAUGUUUGUUAUCGGUGUAUUUAGUUACUGCACUAUGAAUCAAAAUGUCUCAAUCUUGAUUCAAAAUUUGAAAUUCAAACCACCCUACUAUCUUAUAAUUCA